rnacentral:pre_miRNA from 1 species
CAACUACUCCCUCUGUCCCAAAUUUCUUGUCUUAGAUUUUUCUAGAUACGGAUGUAUCUAAUACUAAAAUGUGACUUGAUACAUCCAUAUCUAGACAAAUCUAAGACAAGAAUUUUGGGACGGAGGGAGUACUUU